AGGAGCUCCUCCCUCUCCACGGUGGAAUGGUGAAGGGACCAAUCUGACAUCAGUUCUUUACAACGUAUGAGUGUCAGGAUUUUACUUUUAAAUUUACUUUAACCCUUAGUUAAAUCAUUUCAAGUUUUUGGCUUUCAGCCCUACCGUAUCUUCACAUUGGACUAUAGGUUUGGUUGCCCGAGGCACAUUUGGAUGCACUGGAGUCACUUCUGUUACUCAUUCUGCCUCUGACUGCAGAGGAGUCAGAGAUGAAGGUUAUGAAGGAGACUCCAGGGUGUGAAGUUUGGUGACCUCCGUGGUUCAUGUGCUUGAACCUUCGUUCCCACUAGGUGGCGCUGUUUUCGAAGGUUAAGACAUCCUUAGAAGGAUUCAGGUCAGGAGCUGGACCUCUAUUUCGUACAGGAGUUUUCUGUUUCCUGAUCUGUGAAGCUGUGGACAAGCCACGUGACAAGCUGGAGAGACGAUCGAUCCUCUGUUACAGAAAAGAGCCAGCUGAGCAAGGUGUGGGGAACAAGGCAGUUUCUCAGGUCUCUGCUUCAGUUUCUGCCUUCAGAUUCAUUCCUUGGCUUUCCUCAGCGAUCAGGGCAUGGACCUGCUUCUCUCUCCACAACUUCUGGGAAAGUCUUUGCAGCUCAACUUUGAAUCUCACCUCCUUCAGAAAUGUUGACAGGCCUUCAAGAUCAGAUGAGAGCUCCUAGCUCCUGCUUCAGCACCGUGAUUGCCUGCCUGGUACCAUGCUAUCUGCCAUGAUGGUCAUGAACUCACCCACUGGAAUGGUUGUUCCUGUCAUGGAUUUUUUUAUCAGAGUGUUGAGAAGAGCGACUCUCACGAGCUAACACAAUGACCUCAUACUGGGUCGCUUACACUUUAGAGAUUUUAUUUCUCACAGCUCUGAAGACUACAUCAAGUUGUAAAUGAACUCAUCCUGACUCCAGAGCAAGAAAGUGAGUCAACUUGGGCGCUGUGGCUAGAUCUCCCUUCAGUCCAUCCUUCCAGUUCUAUGGCUGCCUUGUGGACAGUGCUACAUUAUAAAUCUGUCUGUCAGCACUCUAAGGAGGAUCUAGCUGUGCAUCCCAGCCUGGCUCUGAUAUCACCAUCUUCUUGCCUGCACCUUCUGAGUGCUCAGAUGACAACUACUUGUUGCUGCGCCCGACUUGCCAUCUUGGUCCCUUGAUCAAACCUGGAAGGAGACCUGUCGAGAUGGAGAGAACUGCUUUGGUGGUGAGGUUAGACCCACUGGCCGCUGCCCCGUUGACUGUGCAUGAGGAGUGUGGGGACAGAAUGUGUGGUUAACUAAUGGCUGGACAAUAAAAGCAUCCCCGGGGGCUGGAGAGAUGACUCAGUCGGUGAACUGCUUAUUGUGACAAUUGUGAGAUUGGAAGUUUGGAUACCCCCACCCAUACUUGAAGCACCUGGAGGGUAGGCUUGCUCAUUGUCUCCUGACAUGGUUGGGCACACAAGGCUCACAAAUCCAAGGUUGUCUGCACUGUGACCAAGGCAACUUACAAAGUGUUUAAUUUCG
rnacentral:lncRNA from 1 species